rnacentral:rRNA from 1 species
CCUACGAGCGGCUGCAGUGAGGAAUAUUGGUCAAUGGACGAGAGUCUGAACCAGCCAAGUAGCGUGAAGGAUGACUGCCCUAUGGGUUGUAAACUUCUUUUAUCUGGGAAUAAAAUGUUCCACGUGUGGGAUUUUGUAUGUACCAUAUGAAUAAGGAUCGGCUAACUCCGUGCCAGCCGCCGAGGUAAUACGGAGGAUCCGAGCGUUAUCCGGAUUUAUUGGGUUUAAAGGGAGCGUAGGUGGAUUGUUAAGUCAGUUGUGAAAGUUUGCGGCUCAACCGUAAAAUUGCAGUUGAAACUGGCAGUCUUGAGUACAGUAGAGGUGGGCGGAAUUCGUGGUGUAGCGGUGAAAUGCUUAGAUAUCACGAAGAACUCCGAUUGCGAAGGCAGCUCACUGGACUGCAACUGACACUGAGGCUCGAAAGUGUGGGUAUCAAACAGGAUUAGAUACCCCUGUAGUC